rnacentral:lncRNA from 1 species
GAAAUGGAAGGAUGGCAUCGUGUUGAAGCUGACUGAGGGAAAACAGAAGGCAUGUCGUCUUUCCCUUUUCCAUGGAAAGGAAGCAGAAGGGUAGGAGAAAGUACAGGAAGAAAAGAGCAAGUCUGGGUAAACAGCUGCAGUAAAGUGUCUCAUCUCUGAUACAGAACCAAGAAAAAAGACCAUUGAAAUGGCCUUUCCAAGCCCUCACGUCACGUCUCUGCGUAAUUCCUUCAAAACAGAAAGAGCAUUCCCCAUGGCUACACACACAGACAUCAGAUUUAAAAAUAACCAAGUUCCACCUCGACUGUGGGG